AGCCGACGCAGGCAGCCGCCGGGUGAAGUACGCAGGUACCGCAGGUACCCGGCGCCCGCCCGAUUUCAGGGCAAGUUACUGUUUUCAGAAUCCAAGGGGAAUCUAACACCUAAACAAUGCCAAGAGAAAAGGAAGGAAAACGAAAAACUAAAGGAGCACUCCUGCCCAUCAUUCCAACUCUUAAAAAGUUCCUGAAAACGUAUGAGAAGUAUUGUGCACAGACUCAGACGUCUGUGUGUCCAGCCAUCAAAAGGGACUUGAAAACCAGCAUCAAUAAUGAACAAAUUCUCAGGAAGUUUGUACUUGUAAGACCUGAUGACUCCCCGCCAGGCAUCCUACCAAUUUCCUUGGAACCUCUGCUCAUGACAGUUCAGGAUGAGUGUUUCACUCUGGGGAGAGAGAUCUGCAUUUGGGGCCUUCAACUGAGCAACCCAGAGAUGGCCAGACUCGCUUUGCUUUUGGAAUCAAAGGGGUGCACCACCUGCCCAUUUACCACCCUGGAACUCAUUGAUUGCAAGAUGGAUCUGUGGUCCCUGGGGAGACUUGGGAAGGCUCUUCAGUCCAGCAGUUUGCAAACUCUUGUUCUUGAUUACUGCAAAUUUGGAAAUGAAGAAAUUGAGAGGAUUUUCUCAGGCCUGGAGAACAACCAAAGGCUUCAAGUCCUCAGCUUACGUUACUGUGGUCUGGGGCCACAGAUUGGGCCAAGGCUGGGCUCUAUCAUAUGCCAGAGUGCCAUUUGUGAGCUGCACCUUGAUGGCAAUUACUUGCAGUGUUCUGGAGCUCUGGAUCUCCUCAGACCCGUAGCAGAGUAUGCAGAGAUGCAGGGGAAAGACCAGCCAGCCACUUGCUCACCAGACCCUAGGCAUCCCCCUCAGCUGCUCCAAGCUAAGCAGAGAGGAAGUUCAACUUUGAACCAGAUUACAAAGUCAUCUGGAGCUCUAACAGUGAAAACUACUUCAGGAAAGAAGAGAAAAAAAGGAAUCAAGAAAAAACUUAAAAAUUCGGAAGUUGGACCUUGGUUAGUGAAGUUGUAUUUGGCAGAUAAUGGCAUAGAUGGAAAAGGAAAAGAAGGAGAAAAUAACUUGCUGGAAUUCACUCAAAUUUUAACAUGCCUGAUCAAAUACUCUGCCCAUUUAAGGGAGAUUGACCUUGGAAACAAUGUCCUGGGAGAAAUGGCUGCUGCUGACAUUCUUGAAGCACUGAGAGCCAGAAAGACAGGUAAACUUCCAGUUUUAAAAGUUACAGUAACCCCCCAGAUCUCUUCAGAUACCUUCAUGUCUAUUUGGGAAAAUAGCAAGAAAUCAAGUACUACCCAUAAAAAGAGGAAAAAGGCUAGAAACUGAAUAUGGAUGCCAUAUAGCCAUAUGGAUUUUAUCUAUUUCCAUGACCUACCACACAUGCCUGGAAAGAUAUUGUUUGUUCUAUAAUAAUAUUUUUCACUAUAACCAAGCCCCUUUCAAGUUGUAAGAUUUGAUAAGACUCCUUAAUGAAAGUUCAAAGUAGUGUUAGUCCUACCAUGCUUGUCAUUUUCUAAAAUGUUGACUUUAUAAAUAAGCCUUGGUAAAAAUAAGUGGGAUUCUUCUCUGAAGCUUGUUCUCUUGUGCGUGUGAAAUUUAUAGUUUGAAGGAAGUCAUGAUCUUUAAGAAAGAAAGACUUGUCUUUCAUAAAUAUAUCUAUGGUUGGGAAAAAUAGGGAUUUUUGGGGGAAAUAACCACUUUCUAAAAGGCAACAACCCUAACAAUGGGGAUCUUCCCCAAAUGAGGAAAAUUCUGAUCACUCUACCCUCCACACUCUGUAAGAUUUCAAUAGCUCCAAAGGAAAUGGAAGCAGUAUCCUGAUCAAUGCAUAGAUGAUAAAUUGAAUUAGGUAAAUUGUAUACAGUACAGGGAUAAAAAGCAUGGGCUAGGCAAUUAGAUGAACCAGAAUUCUCUGUGGAAUCCUGCUGCUUUCCGGGUGACCUUGAGCAAGUCAGUUAACCUCCAGGUACCUAAACUUCUCCUCUGUAAGAUACAGAUAAGAAUGGUACCUAUCAGAGUUCCCUUGUGGUAGAGCAGGUUAAAGAUCUGGCAUUGUCACUGCAGCAGUUCUGGUGGCUGAGGACUUAAGACUUCAUUUUGAAGUUAUAAAAACAAACCCUGUCAUUCAUCCAACAUAUAAAAUGUAACAAGUGCUAGGAAGUUAGUGGAACCCAACUAACUGAGGAGGUGAGGUUGGGUACAGAAAAUUGUGUCCACUCUUGCAGAUUAGCAUCUAACAAGGAAGAUAAGAUCCUCAUACAUUAAAAGUAAAAAACAUUAGAGCAUGAGUUGAAAUAGUAUAAAUCCUUAGGGUAAGGAAGCCUACAGAGUAGUGACAUCAAUUUAACAAGUCUCCAGAACUUAUAUAUCCAAUGUGUGAGCCCUCCUGAGAAAUUGUUCUUGCUCAAAAACCAAAACAAAACAAACUUUUUUAAAGAUUUCCCACUGACAUCCACUGGGUAGAAGUGUAAAAUCCGUGUGCUUAUUUAGGGGUCUUUUGGCAAUGUCUAUCAAAAUGAAAAAUACAUAGCCUUGACUCAAACAUUCUACUUCUAGAAAUUUAUUUUACAGAUAUACCUCACACAUAUGCAAAGAAAUGUGUAUAAAGAUGUUCACUGCAGCAUUGUUCAUUGCACAGUGGAAACAGCUACAUGUCUCAAAGGGUUCUCCAGGACAUAAACCACAGGAAAUACACAUGGUGGAAAACUACCACACAGCCAUUAGGAAGAAUAAUGUGGAUAUGGAAGUGCUUAUAUGGAGAGAUGUCCUAGUCAUACUAUUAAAGAUAAAGAAAAGCCCAGAUAAGAGUAUAUGUGAAUUUUUCAUAUUAAAAAUGAACUAAGGGAGUUCCCAUUGUAGCGCAGUGGUUAAUGAAUCCGACUAGGAACCAUGAGGUUGAGGGUUCUAUCCCUGCCCUCGCCCAGUGGGUUAAGGAUCUGGCGUUGCCGUGAGCUGUGGUGUAGGUCACAGACUCGGCUCGGAUCCCACAUUGCUGUGGCUCUGGCAUAGGCCGGUGGCUGCAGCUCCGAUUAGACCCCUAGCCUGGGAACCUCCACAUGCCGCUGGAGCAGCCCUAGAAAAGGCAAAAAGAAAAAAAAAAAAAAAAAAUUAAAAAUGAAUUGAUACAACAUGAAUCAGCAAUUUCACUUCUGGGUUUAUAUCAGAAAGAAUUGAAAGCAGGAUCAUGAAGAGAUAAUUGUACACCCAUGUUCAUAAAAGCGUUAUUUAUAAUAAUCAAAUGGUGGAGGCAACCUAUGGAUCUAUCGAUGAAUGAACACACACACACACACAAAAGAAUAUCACUUAGCCUUAAAAAGUAAGGAAAUUCUGACACAUGCUACAUACAGCAUGAAAGAACCUGGAGGACUUUAUGCUAAGUGAAGUAAACCAGUCACAAAAAAGACAGAUAUUGUACAAUUCCAAUUAUAUGAGAUAUUUAGAGUAGUCAAACUCAGAAACAGAAAGGAGCAUGGUGGCUGGAGGGAGAAGAGGGAGAUGGAGAGUUGUUUAAUGGGUAUACUUCCAGUUUUGGAAGGUGAAAAAGCUCUGGAAAUUGGUUGAUAACAAUGUGAAUGUGCUUGAUACUACUGAAUUCUACACUUUAAAAUUGUUAGGAUGGUAAAUUUUAUGUUAUGUGUAUUUUUACCACAAUUUUAAAAAUUCAAGUGAGUUGAUGUGCUCUGUGUUUGUUAGUACAUACAGAGCAAUUUCUGGAGACUCUAUUGACAGUGCUUGCUUUUUUUCCCACUGAAUACUCAUUUUCCUAUUUUAAAGGUCUUAUCACUUAUGAGCUAUCAAUUUGUAAAAACUCAAAAUUGUUUGAUAAUCAUCAGUAACAGCACUGUUUGGUUGUUAUGUGACCUAGUGCCAAAAGAGUGGAAGAAACACAAUAAGCGCUAUGAUUUUUCUGGGAGGAAUGCAUAAAUAGUAGCAAAGAGUGGUCAGUAAGGACACGAAAAUUAGUUUUCCUCACAGCAAACGCAAUGUAGUUAGAGCAGGCAGAGGGAGGUUCUGACCACUUCCAGAGAUGUUAAAUGGAGUCGGGGGAAGAGAAGAGUCUAAGGUGUCUUUGGAUGGCUGAAUCAACUAAUCUGAUGAGGGUCUCAGAGAGGAGUGCUUGGAGAUAACAUUAGAAAGGUAGGUUGGGGCCAUACUGUGGCAGGAUUUAAAGGACCAGCUGGGACAUUUAGAUUUUGUUCUGAUGAUAAUGGAGAGCCAUGGAACAUUUUGAGCAGGCUAGUGUCAGGUGGAAAGGGGGAUCUAAGCAGAUUAAACAGGCACUUUAGAUUGAAUGGGGAGGCCAGACAAGAAGUCAGGACACAAUAAGCCAGGAACAGAGUGAAGAGGUUCAGAUGAGGCAUAAGCAUGUACCAUUCCUUGUCCCCUUCUUUUUUGGCCACACCCAGGGCAUGCAGAAGGGACAGGGAUUGAACAUACUACAGCUGUAACCUGAGCCAGAGCAGUGACAAUGCCAGGUCCUUAACCCACUGAGCCAUGAGAGGGAACUCCUACCAUUUCUCAUUCUUAAUCAUCCUCUAGCCUUUCAUCUGAGUUCCCUCCUUUUCUCUUUCAAACUGCCCAGUUCCCCCCAACUGGGGGCAUUUUAUCCUCAUCUGGUUCUAGCCUUCUUUUUUAAAUUAACUAUCUGGCAUUUAUAGCAUCUCUAGUCAGAUGUGUGGUAGCUUAAUGUGAGUAAAAUGUGUGUCCUUUAUGGUUCAUCUGGGUUUGUUUACAGGCAUUUUUGUCUGGCUCAUAAACUUAGUGGGGUCAACUUUACAUCUGCCACCACUACUACUGCUCUGUUCAACCUGACAGCCUUGCAGAGGUUUGCUUUCUCCACCCACUUCCGGGCCUCCGAUGCCUCCCAUCUUCCCCCAGUUCAAACGUCACCUCUUCCAUAAGACUUUCCUUCACUGCAUCAAUCCUGAGGAAUGUUUCUGUCCCUCAUGGCCCAUAACAUAUCACUCAACAAAGGGCACACAUCAGCAUCUAGCCAAAUGUGACCCAAAUGUAUCCACAUUUAUAUUUUCACACAUAUAUGCUUCCUUGCCUCCUCCGCCAGAUUUCUGGAGCUUCUAGCCCCCAUCCAGACAUCAGGAGAGGAGGGGAUGAGGCCCAGUAGGAAAAGGUGGGAGGCUCUGAAUUCCAAACCCGACACAGCAGGUGUCCACCACUAGGUGGUAGUGGUGAUCAGGCAUCUUCGUGGGCUCUCCAUACCACAGCUUUCUUAUUUAAAUAGAGAUGUUAUCUGCUUUGCUUGGGAAAACAUAAUAAUAUGACCCCGGGCUAGAUGCAGAAGAACCCUGGAUUCAAAACAGUUACCUUUAGGGAAUAAUGGUGUGUCUUUAUCUUAUUUUUCUGGACCUCAACAUUCCUAUCAAUAAAAGGAGGAUGUUGGACUAGAUAGAGGUUCUC
rnacentral:lncRNA from 1 species